rnacentral:lncRNA from 1 species
AUGAGCAGCUGGACAGAGUGCUGGGCUUCUUCACAAGCCUGGUUGAAGCACAGACAACCAGGUGUCACAAUCACGUGGCAUUUGUUAUGGAUGUGCUUCUGCCAGAGGCAACAGUCCACGCCCUUUCAGCUGUCCAUGCAUGUUCCAUUGACAGAGCCACAGAAGUGUAUAAAUGUGGACUGCAGUAUGACUCGAGUGAAAAACGGCUGUUGGCUCAUUACAUGACAAAUGAGCAAGGAGGCAAAACAGCAACUAGAAACAUAUGCUGAAUAACUCAGAAGAGCUCUGGACUCUGAGGAGUUUUUGAAGAGGCUUUAGUAUUUAUGUAGGAUGAAUUAAAAAAUAGUCUGUGAAAUGAUAAUGUUUUAUUUUAUUGCCAAUAAAAGUUGUUGCUGGCUAAUUCAUUUGUCUCAACUUUUGUGUUUUGAGGUACAUAUUUUAAAGACCUGUGUAUGGUCAUAUUUAUAAAUACAUAAAUACAUUUUAUUUGUGUCAAAGGGCCAGCAGUCUUUUCUGUUAACCCAUAAGAAAUCAUCACCUUAGAGUGAUAAUUAUGGCAUCUGAUGUAGUAGGCCAAGCUCUGUGACAGUGUGGCUCUUAGAAAAACGGCUGGUGGAAACAACCUAUUUUAAUCGAAAUGACUACUACUAAUUAUUAUUAUUAUUAUUGUAAAUAUUUUAUUUUAUCGAGUUUAAAAUAACCUUGUACAGAUACAUUAGUCACUUAUAUAAAAAAUGAAAAGAUGCAUGCACCAGAUUUAGCAGUCCUAUAUAAUCUUUUAUCAGAUUAAUCUUUUAUCCCAAUCUUUUAUUUUUUUUAUUACUUAACUUUCUAUUUUUGUAUAUAUUUAUUGUUUCAAGCACAUUGUUUGCAUU